rnacentral:lncRNA from 1 species
GGGGGGGGCGGGCGGGGGGGGGGGGGGGGGGGGGGGGGGGGGAGGGGGGCUUCUCGGGCCGGGGGGGAGGGGGGGAAGAGCAGAAGCGAAGGCUCAGGAGUCCUCCUGCUUGGCUGCUAGUGCUGCUGCUCUUGCUGCCACGGCCGCCGCUGCCUGCUCUCUCGGCUGGUUGCUUUCCGCUUCUCUCGCCUGCCCUGCCCCCCGCCUGCCCUCCUUCCUGCCUUCUUCUUCCUCCUCUCCGCCUCGCCUUCCCCGCUCCCGCGUUUUCCCUCUCCCCGCCUCGAACUCGGGGCGAUUCCUCGGGAGAGGGCGAUGGGAUUCCCGCGAGCUUUCAAGGCUUCUCGGCGGUCUUCCAGCCCCCCCUCCCCGUCCCCUCCGCCAAGGCUCGGGGAGCGUUCCUGGGGCCGCCCGGCCAGAGCCUUCCCUCUGCCUCCUCCUCCUCCUUCCUUCCCUCCAGAAAGGCGUCCUUUUUCAAGUUGCAAAACCAAGCGGGGCGAAGCGGCCGGUCGGGAAAGGCAUUCAGGAGGGGUCACCCUGGGGAGGAGAGGGAGAGGGAGCGGGAGGAGGAGGAGGAGGAAGAAGAAGAAGGAGAGGAGGAAGAGGAGGCGGUGGGUUCGCCCGACCCAGUCCGGGCCGGCCACAGCCCCGUAGCGUCCGAGCGGGAAAGCAGCUCGCACCGCGGGCGGAGAGAGGCAGGAAGCCGAGACGAAGAAGACCGCCAGGAGGCUGCCUCCGCCGCCUCCUCCUCCUCCUCCUCCUCCGCCUCUGCCGCCUCCGCCUCUGUCUCUGUCGCCGCCGCCGCUAGGAAGGCUGCCGGUGCUGCGGCCGCCUCCGCCGCCGCCGCCACUGCCUCCUCCGCCACCGUUCGCUGCCGGGGCCCGACCGGGGGUGUCGCCGCUGGAUCGCGCUCGUCCCCGCCGCGAGCCUGGGAACGGCGGGAGGCCGGCGAGAGAGCGGCCGAGGCUCAGCUGCCGCUCAGGGCGCGCGGGUGUCCGGGGGCCAGGUCCAAGGCAGCGCCGUGUAGUCAGCCAUUCAGCAGAGGCGCUUCGGGAAGCUCCGGGGACGCCGAAAAGAAGGCAGGCGCGGAGGCCAGCGCCGAGUUGAGGAGGCACUUUGGGGCUCGCUCUCUCUCUCUCUCUCUUGCCGCCGCCGCCGCCGCCGCCGCCGCCGCCGCUGCUUUCUUCGACCGGGUCUCUCCUUCUCUCCCUCCUCCCGCUUUUAAUUUCGGGGAAAAUCGACCAAGGCGAAGCCAGCAGCUUCGCUUUCGCCCGGCAGACGGAGGAUCCCCAGCCAAGUGCCAACGCCAAAAGCGAACAUGGAGAGAAGCGAAGGUUACACGCGCGCGGAGGGGAGGGAAAAAGCCAAAGGAGAGCGAGCGAGCGAGCAAUCCAAAGAAUUACGGGGCUUGGAUUGGAUUCCAUUGUUUAAUGGCUGGAAGUAGAUGGCUAAGGAGAAUCCAUAAGGGAAAUUUUACUCCCCGGACUGCGGAGAGACGGAGAAAAAAAAAGAGGCAGAGCAAGAGAAAAACGAAGAGGGAGGGAGAAAGGGGCGAGAGCGGGAGAAAGAAGCAGCGAGAGGAAGCCUGCGAGAGGCACCAGCUCCUUGGCGAGGCUUCUUCGGAGUCCGGAUCCCCUCAGCUGGCAGGCAGCAGUC